CAUUAAAAUAAUGUAAUCAGUAAAGGAGGAGACUGUAUUUAAAAGAAGAAAAACUAUCACAACAAGAGGACAUAGUCUUAAAUUAGAGGGGCAAAGGUUUAAAAAUAUCAGGAAGUAUUAUUUUACAGAGAGGGUAGUGGAUGCAUGGAAUAGCCUUCCAGCUGAAGUGGUAGAGGAUAACACAGUGAGGGAGUUUAAGCAUGCAUGGGAUAUGCAUAAGGCUAUCCUAACUAUAAGAUGAAAUAUUUAGAAAAUUGGGCAGGAUGGUUUUUAUCUGCCGUCACAUUCAAUGUUUCUGUUUUUAGCUAUCUAAUGCCUUAUUUUAAAUACUUGCUCCUUCACUCUUGCUAG